CUGCAGUCCUGUAUGCAUUCUU
rnacentral:miRNA from 1 species